rnacentral:rRNA from 1 species
GACGAACGCUGGCGGCGUGCCUAACACAUGCAAGUGGAGCGACGAACCGGGCUUCGGCCCGGGCGAAAGCCGCGAACGGGUGAGUAACACGUGGGUAACCUGCCCUGAUGAUUGGGACAACCCGAGGAAACUCGGGCUAAUACCGAAUGUGCCCUACGGCCUCAAGGCCACUGGGGAAAGGAAGCUUCGGCCUCCGCAUCGGGAUGGGCCCGCGG